ACAAGCGUAAAGUGUAAAAUGAAUGUUGUUAAUACAUUUUGGAUUUUUCAUUUGCUGACUAACAUCGAAGGCUUAGUAGUUCAAACUUUUGUUUAUAGCAGCCGGAAUACACAUGAAUAACCAAUUUCCACAUUUGUUGUCUAUUAUCAAUUUUAAUGACUUGUUAUAGAUUAUUGCAUAUUAAAUUCUAUAAAUUAAAAUAAUACUUAUGAAUUAUUAUUGUCAAAUUAGAAAUCAUAAUCCAUUUAAUUAUUUCACUGUUAUCAUUUUUAGUAUUUCCUUCCAAUAGUUAAUUUUUUCUAUCUUACGCUGCUAUUUUUUCCAAAAAUGUGAUCAUCCAAAUUUUUUAUGUGUGUAUAUUUUUUAACUUGAAAUUUAACCAAAUGCCACCAACAAGAAGGAGAAGUAGUCGUACUUCAGUUCGUAGAGUGUCUGCUCGUCAAGGAGUUCCUAAAGAUGUAUUAAUAGAAUUAAGUCCUAGACAUGAUAAAGCCUGUAUGUUUUGUGGGAGAAAAGAAAUUAGUGAAAAAUUAUAUGGUCAAUUAUAUCAAUUAAAUGAUGUCAUAGUUCAUUAUUUUUGUAUAUUGCUUUCUUCUCAAGCUAUUCAAAGAGGUCAAGACAAUGAAGGAAUAUGGGGUUUUUUAUUAAAUGAUAUUAAAUCUGAAAUUGAAAGAGGAUCUAAAGCAGUAUGUAUUUAUUGUAAAAAAGUUGGAGCUACUAUAUCUUGCUGUUCUUCUAAAUGUCGAAAAAUCUUCCAUCUUCCAUGUGGGAUGGAGCACGGAUCUAUGCAUCAAUUUUAUCAGACUUUUAAAUCAUUUUGUCAGCAACAUAGAAUAACUCAAACAGUAGAUUUACAAGAAUUACAAAAGUCAGCUUGUGUACAGUGUGCUAUUUGUAAAGAAGAUGUAAAACCAACUCCUUUACCAUCAUCUUUGUGGGCUCCAUGUUGUAAACGUAAUGCAUGGUUUCAUCGUAGAUGUAUUCAAGAGUUAGCUUUAAGUGCAGGUUACUUUUUCAAAUGUCCAUUAUGUAACAAUGUUGACAUAUUUAAAGCUAGAAUGUUAACUCUGGGCAUAUACAUUCCUUCUAGAAACCGUUACCUGAAAAAAUUAAAUCACAGGGACGCUUCAUGGGAAACUGUGCCAAAUGCUUAUGCUGAAUUGUUAGAAAGACAUAGUACAUGUAAUGCUGAUACUUGUUUGUGCCCACACCCACAAAAAAGAAACUAUCAACAAGAAACUGGUUCAUGGGAAAUUAUCCUUUGUUAUACUUGUGGUUCAAGUGGGACUCACACUCUCUGUAGUUCAAUUAAAUGUGAUCAACCUUGGUAUUGUAGUUCUUGUCAAUCCAUUACAGAAGGACCUAGAGAAGCUAAACGAAGACGUUUAGACGACAGUAUAGUUUUUAGUAAUGGCAUUUCUCAAAAUGAAGAAAAACAUUUAGGGGAAUCUAUAAGACUAAAUGCCAACACAGAUACUACUACACAUAAAGAAUCUGAAGAAAUUUUAACUACAUCACAACCUUUAGAUACUUCAAUAAUUGUAAUUGACAGCAGUGAUGAAGAUGAUGAUGUACAGCUGGUUGGAUAUGUGGACCCUCCAAAAAUGGUUAGUCGCCUUCCUUCUAGUCAAUUACCAGUUAUAUCAAGUUAUAUAUCAAUGAGCAAUAAUUUACCAGUUGCAAAUGGAUUUGAUCAUGAGUUUUCUUCUUUUCAUCAAACAAAAAAUGACAGCUAUGUUUUUUCUGAGAGAGUAUAUAAGUUCUGUGUGUAGACAUUUAUGAAAAGACUUGUAAAAUCUAAGUUAUCAACAAAUAUUAGUAUCUUUAUCUCAAACACUCAAUAUUGAAUAAGAACAUAAAAAGUAUUGAUUUAACUGUAGAUGAUGACGACUGAAUAACUUCAUUAUUAUAUGAAAUAAUCACUACACAAUUUUUAAAUGUACAAAAUUAUUAACUACAUAAAAUAAUUUUGUUACUAAGACUGAAUGUUUCCAACUACCAAGGAAAUUUAUUUUUUAAUUGUGCUAUUGAAUGUACAUGUUUUUAUAUAAAUAAAGAGCUCAAAUUAUAACAUCA